rnacentral:pre_miRNA from 1 species
AAGAACUUCUUCCGCGAGAUCGCAUGGAAGAAGGUUCUUCCACAGUUGUAACAUUAACUGCGGAAGAACCUUCUUCCAUGCCAUCUCGUGGAAGAA